ACGCUCGACACCUACGGGGGCAGCAGUGGGGAAUAUUGCACAAUGGGGGAAACCCUGAUGCAGCAACGCCGCGUGAAGGAAGACGGUUUUCGGAUUGUAAACUUCUGUUCUUAGUGAAGAUAGUGACGGUAGCUAAGGAGCAAGCCACGGCUAACUACGUGUCAGCAGCCGCGGUAAUCUGAGGCGGGCUGGACAAGGC
rnacentral:rRNA from 1 species